CUGGUUGGCCCGUUGGCGGAUGAGGUGAGGGCAGCAGCCUCUUCGUCCUCCCAUUCGCCCCCUCCCCCCUCUCUCCAUUGCCCGAUCUCCUCUCCAAGCCGCCAGCACACCCCCUGCCAUCGCGCCGCCGUCGUCGUUCCCGCUCGUCCCGGCCCCCAUCCUCGACCUCCCUUUUCGUUCUUCCCCACACCGUGUCCGUGCCGCGCGGGGUGGCGCUACAGGACCUGCUCGCGCGCCUCGCCGACGCCACCGGCCCGCACUUCCCGGUCAGGUACCAGCUCCCUGACAAGGGCCUCGACGCGCUCAUCUUGGUCUCCUCACCCAAGGAUCUCGACGGCCCCAAGCUGCGGGUCUUCAUCUUCCCAUCUCCAACGUGGCGGCGGGGGAUGAGGGUGGUGAGGGCAGCGCCGGGUUUGACGCCGCUCACGACGCCGGACGCGGCGGUGCGGCCGCAUGUGGGCUGCCUCCCCGGCCUUCCGCAUGCAGCUCUUCCUGCUCCGCUCUCUCGUGCCCACCUGCGUAGAUGACGGCCACGCCUCCUCGAGCUAUCUUCGUCCCCGCGCGAUGUAUGCAGCGUCGGCGGACGCGGAGUCGGUGAUCCAGCGAAUCACGCCUCCGCUCGAUCGCGCAAGGCACAAGGGUCAGACAGAUAUGUUUUGAGAUUUCCCUAGAGCCGACCAAUAAAACAACACUAGUUUAUAUAACACAUCGUUUCUUCACAAUUUGACUACUACGGUCACCGAAUCCUUGGAACAGUGUAAACUGCUAGCAGAGCUACAUAGCGGAGUACAGAGUUGAUGUGAAGCUCUGCUAAGUUCCAAACAGAAAGAUCAACCCUAUUCUAAGGUUCUUAUUUAUCUAUGCCUAUAUGUUGUUCCAUGAAAAUACAAGUAGACUCCAAGGUGGUGCUGCUUGGAUCUGGGGGAGCACUGACUGUGACGUAUGAUGCUUCCAUGGCUUAGUUCAAGGAAUGACUGAUGCUAUUUUCUUGCCUAUGGGUUUGGGCUACUAAUUUUUAUUGCCAUAAUUUAUUGUUUGUCAUCUAAAAAGGAUUCAGAGGGAUACAAAGGGUCCUCUAAUUUGCAACCGAUUAAACUGCUUGGUUCCUGAUUCAUAUUUGUUUUUCUAUAUUAUGGACAACCGAUUAAGAAUAUUUACAGAGUAGGAGUCUUUGUUUGAUGCCACAUUUGACAUCACCCAGUUGUGUGUAGGGUGCUUAAUAAGUUUCUUGAGAUGUAUGCACUGCAUGAAGGAGCACAUUUCUGUCAAUUUUACUAGAGGUCAAGGUUACCUUCAAAUGCAUGUAGUUAUUUGUAAGCUUCAGCAGCUUGAAUGCAAUGGAAGUUUGGAUUGAAAGGAUUUUUGGUUGGCUAUAAGGAAGAGAGUAGUUGAUGGCCAUUUGUACUGUUGUUGUGGUCGUCCUUGGCGCAGAAGGGGUGGCGGGGGAGGCACAGAGAUGGGGCAAACCUUUCACUGUGUCUAAUCCACUUGAUUCCAUCAUUUUCUAUGAGAUUCACCAAUGAUUGUAACGAAUCUUCACGCUUUGUACUAAACCUUUACUACUAUGUAUUUUGUUUGCUCCUAUGUCAUGAGAAAUUCCAAAUGUUGGAUUUGUGCCUGCCACAUGCCGCGAGCCGGCUCAGUUGUCCCAGGCCUUGCUUUUGGAACAAAUGUUUGCUUACCUUGCUUUUUCUAUAUCUUCACCAUUUGUGAUGUACCAAACGUUUUCUUAAUCUGUAUGCUCUAAACUCGGUUUUCCUGGGCAACAACUAUAUACCUUAAUUUCAGUAUAUCUCUAGUGUUUGUGAUUUGUACAUAACACAUUUGGCUUGACCAGUUAUUCUAAUUUCCUCUGAAUGUACAAAAUGCUAUGUUGGAGUUUUAUGCGUUGGAUCACU